CUACGGGGCGCUGCAGUGGGGAAUAUUGCACAAUGGGCGCAAGCCUGAUGCAGCCAUGCCGCGUGUAUGAAGAAGGCCUUCGGGUUGUAAAGUACUUUCAGCGGGGAGGAAGGGAGUAAAGUUAAUACCUUUGCUCAUUGACGUUACCCGCAGAAGAAGCACCGGCUAACUCCGUGCCAGCAGCCGCGGUAAUACGGAGGGUGCAAGCGUUAAUCGAAAUUACUGGGCGUAAAGCGCACGCAGGCGGUUUGUUAAGUCAGUGGUGAAAUCCCCGGGCUCAACCUGGGAACUGCAUCUGAUACUGGCAAGCUUGAGUCUCGUAGAGGGGGGUAGAAUUCCAGGUGUAGCGGUGAAAUGCGUAGAGAUCUGGAGGAAUACCGGUGGCGAAGGCGGCCCCCUGGACGAAGACUGACGCUCAGGUGCGAAAGCGUGGGGAGCAAACAGGAUUAGAUACCCGUGUAGUC
rnacentral:rRNA from 1 species